rnacentral:lncRNA from 1 species
CCGCGCCUCCGGCUGGGGCUCCGAGUCGGGCUUCGAGAGGGACAGCGGAGGCCCUCCGCCGAGGGACGGUCGGCGCCAACCGAGUGAGUGGAGGCUUGGGUCCCAGGCAGCUGGCAGGCCCGCUUUCCAGGCCGCCCUUUCCCACGCUGGGCGCCCCGAGGGCGGGCAGUCACAUCUCCCUGACUCUAGACUCAAGGGUCUCGGGACCCGCUUGUUCCCGCGAGCGCACAGUGUGGCCAUUUUGGCUCGUUACCUCGUGCGCCGCGUGGAGAGGCGCGGGCCCGGCGCAGCCACAGGCGUGGGAGCCUGGGGAGGCGGGCGACCUACCCAAGGGUUGCAUGCGCCUGGGCAACUCGACAACUCCAGGGGUUCAAGGGUUCCUGAGCAAAAGAGAAAAGGAGGUUUGACCAUGAGGCUUGGAGAAGGGAGAAGGGCUGGGGAGUACGGCAAGCAUCAAAUUGGAUAUUUCUCUGGAAACACUGACAGUCUGAAUUCCCUCAAUCUGUGUCUCAAUCCCAAACUGAAAGGACCAUCUUCCUGAG